ACACGGCACCAAAAAAAAAAAAAAACACAAAAACACCUGAUUUUGUGUCGCGGUUCGCCCCUUCUCCGCAUUAUCCAUCGCCCGGCGGAUCUUGGGUCCGCCUUUUCCCCCCGAUCCGGAAUUUGGGGCUGCCUGAUCCACUAGUAAACGGACAAGUGGGUCUCGGUUCGCCUUCUCUGCACUACCCACCGCCCGGCGGGGCUUGGGUCCGCGUUUUAAGCCGGAUCCGCCUACUACUUCCCCCUCAAAUCUGUAGAUUGGGUCGGAUCUCUCUUCUGCCCUAUCUCCUCUCCUCUCCGUCUCCGUCUCCGGCUAUGCCCUAGUCGCCUCCGGUUCUACUCUGUCAGUGCCUGAGCCCUUUCGUAGUCGCUUCCCGCCAGAGUUCCACCCGCCGAGCUCGCUCCUCUCCACCCUGCUGUUGCCCUUAUCUCUACUCUUACUGUGUAAAGUUGACAUUUUUACUACUUCUCCUUUAACUACUCUACUCCUUUAUUCUUCAGGUUGUUACAAGGUUAUAGGCGCGAAGAGAAAAUGUAUGGGAGAUAAGCAUCCCAGCUUUUGAAGGAGUUAGGCUCCUGCGAAGCUGGACAGCUCACACCGUUCGAUCAAUACCUUAUAACCCCCCACACCUCUUGGCUGGGGCUUUUGUGCUGCAAUAGAGAAGGAGGAGAGGUGAGUCCCCUCUUUAUUUCCCUUAGUAUCUCAUCUCUUUUGUUGGGAUUUUUAGAGGUUUGAUCUUUCCCUUUUGCUCUUUUUUGCUUGUGGGUACUUCUCCACCAUGAAUGAAGACUUGGAGCUUGGAGAAGAGCUUGUGGAAGGGAAGAUCUUCAACCUUAGUGGACUUCUAACCUUGUUUGGAGCUUUGUUUGAGGGCUUUUGGAGCUCAAUUGCUUGGAUUGGAAUCUUCCUCUAGGUUGGAUUGGAAGGGUUCUAGCUCCCAUUUGGAGUUCAUGAAGGGCUUUCCACUCUAUAGGGUGCUAGGAAAAUAGUGGGCAACUUCAUUCGGCGAAAAGAAAGGGUUGCGAGGAGUCUCGAGCCUUCCGUCCCGGGAGAGGCUAAGGACCGCGGCAAGGGUGUCGCUUCGAGCUAGCGAGCGAGGGGUCUUACUAGGUGGAUCAUUUUCUCUUUUUGUUUUAGUUGGAGAGAAUGAGAGCGUUUUGUACCCUACAUAGAAACUACCAUUUUGGACAUUGUAGUACUUGUAUUUGAGACAUUGCGAUGUAUUACUCUAUAUUUUAUCUUAUUGGUUUAGUUUUCUUUCAUUC